rnacentral:rRNA from 1 species
UACGUAGGGGGCAAGCGUUGUCCGGAUUUAUUGGGCGUAAAGAGCUCGUGGGCGGUUUGGUAAGUCUGUUGUGAAAUCUCCACGCUCAACGUGGAGGGGCCACCCGAUACUGCCAUGACUGGAGUCCGGUAGAGGAGUGUGGAAUUCCCGGUGUAGCGGUGAAAUGCGCAGAUAUCGGGAGGAACACCAGUGGCGAAAGCGGCUACCUGGCCCAUUCUUGACGCUGAGGCGCGAAAGCUAGGGGAGCAAACGGG